AGGAAAUCUUUAAAAACAACAGGAAACUAGCAAAUUGGGUCUUUGGCCGGUGGGCACACCCAAGGGAAGGAACCAAAGACCUCAGGGGAGGAACAGCCCUGGUUUUGAAGGCUUAACUUGAAAAGAAACAGUUUUAGGGCUGUGUGGAGAGAGUGAUGGACUGAAGAUACAGCAUGAUCACUCAAGAGCUGUAUUAUGUAUUUCAAACACUGAGAUGGAGUUAUGUCCUUGCUACUUCUCCAAGCAAAAUAGCUAAAGGCUUCCUUAGGGGAUGUAAAUGCAACUGAAUAAUUUGAAUUUGUGGAAUGGAUGAAAUCCGUCCUUCUGCAGAGAUCCAGCGCAACAACACAAGCCUUCACUUCUACCUCUGGGGCUUGCAUGGAACUUAAAUGAUGCAUAAAUCCUGCAGGGGCCCUCUGAACAAGGAUGAGUUUCUGCCCAUCACGCAGAUCCAGAAUCCUUUGCAGCAGAGCUGCGCCAGUCAUUGCAAAUAGGGGGCUAGGUAGCUGGUAACGGACAAGCCCCCUCCCCGCAGUCUGAUGGGAGUCCCAGGC